ensembl:snoRNA
UGAUGGCUGUUCGUCUCACUACUUGUAACCCUAGGUAGUGGGAUUUUAGUCCAUCACACAGCAAGCAGAUCUGUUUUCACUCAGAGCACCAUGCGGACAGCUUGCCUGUCUGAUAGUGACUUCUGAUUUUUGCAGGUCGAACAAUU